UACGGGGGGGGCAAGCGUUGUUCGGAAUUACUGGGCGUAAAGCGCGCGUAGGCGGCUUUGCAAGUCGGGUGUGAAAUCCCCAGGCUUAACCUGGGAACUGCAUUCGAGACUGCAUUGCUAGAGUAUGGGAGAGGGAAGUGGAAUUUCCGGUGUAGCGGUGAAAUGCGUAGAUAUCGGAAGGAACAUCAGUGGCGAAAGCGACUUCCUGGACCAAUACUGACGCUCAUGUGCGAAAGCGUGGGGAGCAAACA
rnacentral:rRNA from 1 species